AUUGUUGCAUUGUAUCGAUUUUUCUUAUCAUUAUUAUUACACGGAUAGAAAUCCUGUCCGAAAAACCAUCAACAAAUUGUUUUAAAAGCGAUAACAUCGAUUGUUUUCGAUUUCGUUUACAAUGUUUUCAAAAAUGAAAACAAUUUCAUCGAUUUCGAAAACUUUUGUGUUCGAAAACGCAACUUUUUCCGUCACACUUUUUCGAAGCGUAACUACUGUCAAAACGCAGCCUAAUUCUAAACGUCAAACAAGCUCUCGUGACAGUUUGUUUAUACAAUGUUUUUUUUUUAGUUUUCGGGUGAAGUAACCGGAGAGCCGGAGAAGUUUCUGGUGGCCAGAUAUUAACUGGUUCCGUUUCGACGGUGUUUGUGAAAUGAUGUGUGAUGGCCACCAGAGGAAGAUGUUGUCCAGCGGGAGAAAGUCAUCAAAGUUCAUACCCUCAGAAGCUUGGCUGCGACGCCGUCCUCUUCCAGAUCUGCAGCCACCUCGAAUUGAACCACGACGACAAGAAAAGCGACCCGGGACAAGGCGCAUCAACCGAACUUGAGCUCCGUCGGCAUCCUGGAGCCGAUCGCGGUCAAGCUUCGGUCGUGCAGAAGGCGCUGAAUACCACACACACACACUACAUUAC